GAUGAACGCUGGCGGCGUGCCUAAUACAUGCAAGUCGAGCGAACGGACGAGAAGCUUGCUUCUCUGAUGUUAGCGGCGGACGGGUGAGUAACACGUGGAUAACCUACCUAUAUGACUGGGAUAACUUCGUGAAACCGGAGCUAAUACCGGCUAAUAUUUUGAACCGCAUGGUUCAAAAGUGUAAGACGGUCUUGCUGUCACUUAUAGAUGGAUCCGCGCUGCAUUAGCUAGUUGGUAAGGUAACGGCUUACCAAGGCAACGAUGCAUAGCCGACCUGAGAGGGUGAUCGGCCACACUGGAACUGAGACACGGUCCAGACUCCUACGGGAGGCAGCAGUAGGGAAUCUUCCGCAAUGGGCGAAAGCCUGACGGAGCAACGCCGCGUGAGUGAUGAAGGUCUUCGGAUCGUAAAACUCUGUUAGUAGGGAAGAACAUAUGUGUAAGUAACUGUGCACAUCUUGACGGUACCUAAUCAGAAAGCCACGGCUAACUACGUG
rnacentral:rRNA from 1 species